UACGAAGGGGGCUAGCGUUGUUCGGAUUUACUGGGCGUAAAGCGCACGUAGGCGGACUUUUAAGUCAGGGGUGAAAUCCCGGGGCUCAACCCCGGAACUGCCUUUGAUACUGGAAGUCUUGAGUAUGGAAGAGGUGAGUGGAAUUCCGAGUGUAGAGGUGAAAUUCGUAGAUAUUCGGAGGAACACCAGUGGCGAAGGCGGCUCACUGGCUCGAUACUGACGCUGAGGUGCGAAAGCGUGGGGAGCAAACAGG
rnacentral:rRNA from 2 species